CAGUUCCUUGAUUGCUGUUACACAUUAAAAUGAGUGUCAAUUCUAUUUUAAUUUUUUUUUGUCUCUGACAUUUUAUGGUUAAUUAUUACAUAUUUUAACAUCUAAGAUUUUUAAAUUAGAAACAAAUUAAACAUCAACUGAACAUGCUUUCCUUAUUAAACAUUAAACAACUCUUAAUGGAAACUUUGUAAUGUUAUAGUGAGCGCUAGUUUCACGAGGACGACUAAUGAAAAACAAAAUGCAACUUUAUGAAAAGUUUAUUGAUCGUUACAAAAACUUAAAAAGAAAAUAUUUUUUAACAUUGAAAAGCUUGCAAUGGCUUUAGAAAAUAAAAUUUAAAUUUCCUUUUCAGGAUUUCAAAUUUGAAAACUUACAAGUAACUUUAAACUCAAUAUAUUUUGCUACUUCAUUUUCAGUGGACAGAUAUGCUUGAUUUGAAAUUCGUUUUUCAAAAGUUAUUAAUAGUUGUUAGUUAACUUUAGCUUUGAAAAGCUUCUUUUCACAUGACGCCACGUAGACAUCCCACGUAAACAUGCAUUCGGCAAGAAACAGUUCAAGGUUUAAAUCAAAGGCUGGUAGAGAUUCGUUGACGUCCUUCAAAACUUUGUUGCCUUCUAGUUUUAGUAUUUCUGUUCACAUAUCUUGUCUUCUGGCCCAGUAUAAAAGAGAUUGAUGCACUCAGUAUUAACCUCGUGAAUCCGGCAUCUUAAGAUUUCUCUCCUGAUAUUUUCAUAUUGUUAAAACUUAUUUUUCUAUUUUUCUGUUGCAAUUAAAUGUUACUUUGAUUUGACAAAAGUUAUCUCAAUAACAUUUUGAGCUAAGUUGUCACAUAUUUCGUAGAGUAAAUGUUGAAGUGCUCUAGCUUAGCCAUCACUUUGCCAAUAAUUAACUCUUUAAUUUGAAGUUACUCUUGUGUUUAGUUGACUUUUUUUUAGUACAUUUGCCAACAAGAAAGUCAAGCAAUGAAAGGUAUACAUGUAUUCACAGACAGCUGGCAAUCGUCUUUGCGCUGCGCCUCUAGUGUUGGUAUUUUCAAAGCGAUGGCAAAUAUUUUCGCGUCACACUUUCAUAAAAUCUUUCUUUCAUGAGUCUAACAGCAACACGAUGAGCACACCAGCGAGUUGUUCCUAUGACACUCUAUCAUUCAUUAAAAUAUCCCAUCGAUUGUUAGAAGGGGCAUAGAAACAAAAACUUUUUCUAGAAAACCGAGAAAAUGUAUGUUGGAAGUAUUUCCUGAUAAAGAACUUUGACCACAUAUAACUUAAGUAAACGGUGUACACAUCCAUUCAAGUUUCUGUUCUGUCCUUCAUUUAUUACUGCCUGCACUUCGUCAUGAAUCCUUGACAUUGUAGCUGCAAUACCAUUGUCCCUGCAUUGUCCCUGAGCUCACCGUAUCAAUACUUUAAGCCUAUUUCUUUCCAGGCGUUUUAAAUUAUCAGAACUGAUACCAUUAGCUUUUGGUCCACUUCAAGAGGAAUAUCCUACAUCUCUGUCAUUUCAACAUUACCAUUGCUAUAUUUUGUAUUUAGGACCUACACAUGUUACCUUUCAUAGGGGAAAAAAGGUGGGGGGAUUACAGUACAUUAAAAAUUAUCAAUAAAAUGCAAAUGUAAAUAAUAUAUUGGCUUGUUUACAUGAAUUUGUAUAGCCUACAUUUUUCCAAGGAAGGAUUAGGGUAGGUCAAGUCAGUAGGAGGGAUGGCCUUAGAUACUUUUGUCUGUGUUUAUGGAAGUGACUUUAAAUUAAAAAAAAAAAUCCAUUCGGGGAAAAAAAAAGCUUCUCUUUCCUUCAUAGAUAUUACACCCAACAGCUCUAGACCAAACCUCCUGCAGGAUGAUUUGGGGGAGGGGGGGCAGGAUUCAAACUGGGGACCAUCGUGACUAAAGCGCAAAACCCAUACGACCAAGUAGCCAUCAUCUCUGUUAAGUGUAUUACGCAAAAGUUGUUAAAUUGUUUGAGUAUAAAUAUAACAUGGUUUACAAACAAAGUGUUCUGUGUCAUCAUGUCAGUCUUGUCACGUGAGACGUAGCCAAGACAAUGUACUGUUGGCUGGAGGGAAAUAUUUGUUUCGUUUCCUGAUUUUUUUAAAAAUUUAAAAUGUCUCUUUACUUAGUGACAUUAGCAUUACCCUUUUUAGCGCCCCCCCCCCCCAAAAAAAAGGGGAAAAGACGCUAUUAGUUUUGUGUGGCCUGUCCGUCCGUCAUUCCGUCUGUCUUUCUGUCCGUCCGUCUCGUUUAGAUCUCAGAAACUAGAAGAGAAAAUGAAAAUCGGACAUCAUGAUAUUUUAGAUUAUUCAAAGUUCUGAUGCAACAGCUACUUUUCCGAAAGUGAGCCAUCUAAUUUUUAAGAUUAUAUAUGCAAGCAGAUUUUUCAAAAAAUUACACCACUUUUCAAUGAAAAACUUCAGGGACCCUUGAAGACCCUUGAGUCUUACAUACUUACCUAAACAUUUGACAGAUUCCUAGCAGCGCUCUGGGUUGAAAAACUUCAGGGGAAGUAAGUCUUAUUAAAAAGUUCACAAGCUUUUUCAUUAAUAAAACAACUUCAUUCAUAGAUUUGCGUAUUUGUACAAAACAUUUGCAUCUACGGUCAAAAGUAAAAAUGGUAAAAGUGUCAAUAGAUCAUUAUAAAAUAUAUUUUCCAUUAAUUAACAAACUCAUUGAAUAGAAUACUGAUUCAAAUAUUAUUUAUAAAAAAAGAAGUUUGAUACGACUUCGUUUCAAUUAUAAGUUUAAAAACAACAACAACAAAAAAAAAAAAAACAACAACUACUUUUUUUUACCGCGCAGUUUUCACACAUCGUCAUUAGGUUAUACCAUGGAACUAUACUAAUGGAACACCAGCUUCGAGAUUUUAUGAUCAGAGUGCCGUCGCGCAUCUUUUUUUCGCGCAACAUACCAAUUUGAAAAAUCGAUGAGGAUGCCAAAGAAGAAAUUUACUCCGAGAGCCACUUGGAUUGACCUUCAUUGAGAGUAAAACUUCCCCACACUAUAUUUUAUUAGAUCUGUAAAAACUUUAUCCAUUUUCUGACUAUCUGAUAAAAUAGAUACAAUUUCCCUGAAUAAUGGAUCGUCACAAAAGAUUUUUUUUUAAGGCCACUUCAUUAAAAUAGGUGUUUCCAGUACUUCCUCAUUUGGGUAUUUUACACAAAAUCUGGAUUUUUUUUUAUGUACAUGUCAUUUUUAUCAUCUGUCCCGCGCAACCAAACCAUCCACUUUUCCCGGUCACCAAUGUUCUUAACAAGAUAUCAAGAGAGAGAGGCUGGUCCAUUAUUUGCGUAGUCCAGCCAGCUUUUUUUUUUACAACCCUUUUUCGUUCUCUCUCAUGAAGGAUAUGUUUUGAAAAUUAGUCUUACAAAAUACAAUUCCAAACCAACUCAUGCAGUUAUCGUCUUUUCACAGUAUUGAGGAGUCAUCCUUUUUGCUAGCCAGAGUGUUAAUUGGCAAAAGUGAAAAAUUCAUUUUCUUUAAUUUUUUAAAGUAAAUAUUCAUAACUAUAUCUUUUAUAUAAUAAUAUAUUUUUAAAAUAAUAAUCUUUUAUAUAGACAUGCUUUAAUAGAUCUAAUAAAUGAUUAACUCGGACCUACCAAUAUGGGUAUAUAAAUACUUAAAUCUGGGUAUUUAAAAUUUCGAAUGCGAAUUUUUAAAAAACCGAACUUAUAUUGAUCUAGAUCUCUUGUAUAAUAUCUAGAAUAAUAUAGAUCUACAACACCUAGGCCUAGACUAAAGUUAAAGACUAAGUUAUUAACAAGUAGAACCAUGGCAACCAGUUCUGAUGAUGUACCAGAAUGGCUCAAGGAUCAUACUUAUACUAUUUCUACUCUCUGGGCAUCCAUUCAAUAUUUAAUUUAUGUUUGGAAAUAUGCAAGAAAAAGGCAUGCAUUCCUGAAAAGUCAAUGAUUGGUUGCACCUCUUAAAGAUAACUUUCUGUUAUGAGAAAACAUGAGAUUCUUGGACUCCUGCAUAGCACCACCAGAAAGGAAAAUCCCAUCAUGUUGCAAAAUAAAAGUCUUGGACCAAUUUUAAUUUAAGAUAUAUAUAUUAUACUGUAAGCUGUAUACAUAUUUAUGUAUAUCCUGUCAUUCAGCCAACAGGUUUGGAUUUAGUAUUUCUUUAAAUCUGUUUGAUAUUGUACUUGAAAACUAUUAAUCUGAGCCCCAUUAAAACAAGAGGGAGUGCAGUGGAUGAGUGGUAAGGGAAAUUUUACUUUUUUAAAAUUAAAAUAAGAAUCUAACAAAAGUAAACAUAUAAAAUAUGGUGCAUUCUCCUUAAAACUAAAACCUGGUGCAAAGGUUUAAAAUGUUGGCAAAAAAAAAAGCAACAUCAAUUAAAUAUUCUUAAUUCCCUUUGCAAAACUUACUGAGAAGAACAUGCAUGUUGUUCCCUCAUAAGUUUCUUGACAGAGGAAAUCUUGUUUAUAUUAGAUUUGAAUUAAGCAAAUUAAGAAAAAAAUUAUAAUCAUUAUUUCAAAUGGUUGUAUCUAAACCUUAUGAAUUAUUUUUCAGUUAUAAGUAUAUUGAAAUGAAUGGAUAAUCAUGAAAUUGUUAAAUAAUUGCUGCUAUCAUUCCAUUGACUAAAGAACCAUAAUUUUUUUUUUUAAUUAAUUUCAAAAUUAAUUAAUUAAUUAAUUUUCAAGCAGAGUUCACAUAGAUCUUGAGUGAAAUUUUUCUUUUUUUGACAAAUGCUUCAAUUUUAUUGUAUCAUUAGUUUUUUAUUUUUAUUACCCAGAAUAUUUUAAAAAUGAGUACACUAUUUUCAUGUAAUAAUGUAACUUGGUAUUCACACAUCAAAAUACGCUAUAAUCUUUAGGCCAUAUAGAUUUGUAUAAAUAUAAAUUAACUUGCUUAAAUACAUUGUAAAUGCAUAUUGUUUGGAUAAGAAUAAAGUUUUUCUGUAGACAA